GAGAAACUGAGCGCGCUCAGAGCUGCUGUACCUGCAUCAACAAACAGAACCUUUCUGAUCACAUCAGAUCACAGUUUGAUUAAAACUCAGCUUCUUCAUCACUCUCAACACUUCAGGAGGACCAGGAGACCUGGAGAUGGCUUCAACACCAAGAAGAAGGGGGAGUAAAGGGAGCAUAAUGAGAACUUUAACCUUUCUGAUCACAUAAAAUCACAGUUUGAUUUGAAGUCAGCUUAAAGUCAUCUAAAGUCAUCUCAGUUUGUCUAAACCUUCAGUGAAAAGUUAAUCAGCUACAGUCCUCACACGCUGCUGUCUGAUUGGUUUCUCUGAACAUGUGAUUUCAACUCAGAGACGUGAUGCUGACAGGACAGACUGAUCUCUCAGAGCUGAUUUACUUGUAAACAGUUUGAUUUAAGGUCAGCUUCUUCAUCACUCUGAAGAGGAGAUCUCAACACUUCAGGAGGACCAGGAGACCUGGAGAUGGGGAAUUCAAAGUCAACACCAACAACAGAUAGCAUGGGGGCUACAGGGUCAACACCAAGAAGAGAAAGCAAAGCCCUCCCUCCUGAUCUGUCUGAAUUAAUGAACAAACUCAAAAAUCAUUCAGCUUCAUUCAUCAAAGAUUUUGACCGCAGUGAUAGCAGGAUGAGACAGAUUGUUGGAGAGUUCCAAAAGAUUGCUGAUAGAGAAAUCAGAUCCUCAGACAUGAUGGCGUCUACCUCAGAAGGAGCACCUGCUGCUGAGAGAGACUUCAUGGAGAUCAUUGAACCCCUGAAGAAGGACCUGGAAGAAAUAAAGAGGUCGUGUGAGGAGUUGGAGCAAAGAUCAGCUGAACUUCAGGCUGGAAUCACUCUGACAGACAUGGAGGAGUGUCAGAGUGUUCUGAGACGAGUUUCUGAAGAUAGAAGAGAAAUCAUGAUUUUGCCUCAUCUGUGUAGCAGGGUGGUUGAGGACUGUGAAAAGAUGAAGAAAGAACUCAAAGACUUCACAGAAUAGUAAAGAUAGAAGCUGCAGUUUGUAGAAAAGGCCUUAUUUAUCCAUAAGUUCUCACUAAAUCUGCAGUUUGAGAUUGAAAAUUUAUAAUUUGGGACACAUAUAUUCCUCUGGUCCUAAUUAUCAAAAAACAAACUCUGGCUUAUAGUUCUGACUGGAACAUGAUGUAACUGUGUUGGACUCAGACCAGGUUAAACUGCAGUUUCUCAUGUAACCAAUGAUGGUGCUACACCGGGGCUAGUCUCGCUUUGCCAGACCUUCCUCUACAGCGCUGCGGAGGAGGGUCUGGCUAGUCCACACAGCAUUCUGGGA